AUCAUGAAAUCUAUAAACUAUAUAUCAUGAUUAUAAAACUCCAGAUUGAGAAAAACAAGACCUUUUCAAAGGCAUUCAAAUCGCAAAAUAAUAAUUGAUACAAACCAGGGUCAAUUAAUAUAAUUGGAGAGCAAUCACCCCAUAGUAAGGGAAAAAGAAGACUGGGAAUAUAUAUAUCUACUACUACUUAAAAUUAUCCCUUGAAAUCACUAUUCCUAAGAAAGCUUCGAAUCCUGACAGUUUAUUUAAAUUGUUUUGUUUAUUCUGAAUCAAUCUUGGCCUUUGGUUUAUAGCAGCUGAUUGGUGUUGAAGGAGUACAGUGUGUUGCAGUCGUUUUCCUCUUCCAUUACCUAAUCGUCUGCAUCGAUGAUGUUUGUGCUGAAGGAGUACAGUGUGUUGCAGUCGUUUUCCUCUUCAAUUUUCGUACUUCUGAUGAUCUCACCGUCUGCGUUGGAGAAGGUUUGGUGGAAGUGAAGACUGUGGGUUCCGGUUUGAUUUUGACAGAGAUCGUCAUAUUUGGCAGGCUCUCUCACUGUAUAUUCUCGGAUGUUUGGGAGCAGUUGUAGUUGUUGCAGUUUCAACGAAGGAGAAGCCAAAGAUACAUGGAAAGUUAAGGUUAGCGUUCUUCUGACAGUAGGAAAUGUUUCUUGUUGGUGAUCCUUGCAAACCAUAUGCAAUUAAUCUUGUCUUGAUCGAUUCACAGGGUGUCAAAUUUUGUAUAUAGAGAAAGAAAGGAAUAGAUAAUGCAGUGAGAGAUGGAAUGAAACACCAAAUAAUGGCAUUAUUUAUAGAGAUUUGAAAGGAGAAAUCCACAACAGUUGGUACUCUAAAUGAACAAUUGACAGCAGAGAUCCAUGGAAGGUAAGGUUUUUAGUUUUUUGAAAUUUAAUUUUUUUGGUUGCAGUGAGUGAAGAAGAAAUAGGUGAAGGAAGAUUGUCCACAAAAACGGAUGUCUUUCCAAUCAUGAAAGGAAUAUUGCUUUUCUACAAGAUAAUUGAUUUCAAGAUAAGAACCAUUGACCUUGAUGGCAAGCACAUUAAGUUACAAAUCAGGGACACUGCUGGCCAGGAGGGACUUCGAACUAUUACGAUUGCCUAUUACCGUGGAGACAUUGUUAUCUUGGUGGUUUAUUAUGUUAGUGAUGAAGCAUCAUUCAACAAUAUUAAGAUUUGGAUUCGCAAUAUUGAACAACAUGCUUCUGACAAUGUAAACAAGAUACUUGUGGGAAACAAGGAUGAUAUGGAUGAAAGUAAGAAGGUUGUACCUACUUCCAAAGGCCAAGCUCUUGCAUAUGAGUAUGAGUGCAAAAACAAACGUCAAUGUGGAGGAGGUUUUCUUUUCAAUAGCAAGAGACAUCAAGCAGAGGCUUGCAGACACAGAUUCUAGAGCUGAGAUGAUUCUAAUGAAUUGGAUAAGAAUAAUGAUGAUAGAGAGGAUACAUUCAAGCUAUCCUAUUCUGAUGCUGAGUGAAGAAUUAAAGGAAAAGAACCUUCAGAAAUUUUUUGUUCCUUGAACAAACCUCAAAGAUGGAUGAGGUAUUUUGCUUGCAUGUGCCUAGGGUAUUUUGCUUGCAUUUGCAUUUGGGUCUGAGCCGCUGAGGUAUUAAUUUGUGGUUGAGAAAAGAGGUGGGGGCGGUAGUUGUGGACUGAGGUGAUGGUUGUGCAUAUGUUUCUUUCAUUUGUAUUUUGUUUAUCUAUUGGGUUUUAACCCAAGUUGACGGAGCAAGUGUUGAUUAUUGAAGGUUGAGGCUGGUGUCUCAGGGACUAAAUUUUCCCUUUAGCACUGGUGGUGAUUGGUCAACAGAAAUGAACAGAUCUUGGCUACUUAUGCUUUGGUGUCGUUAAAUUAAAUUCUGAUUGUAGGUUGGUUGCAGACUUUCCUCCUAGCAGGGCUUUUUCUUGGGAGAUUUUCAAUUAAGCAAGUUUUAAGUUCUUGCAGGAAGGCUUGAUCUAUUAUGUUGGAUUGGUGGAAUCUAUAUUUGUCACUGCUAUGAAUGCUAUCUGUCUUGCUGUGGGAUGAACGAAAGAAGCUUUCUUUGGAUGUGGAUGGAACUACAUCGGUCUGGCCCUGGACUUGGCAUAUUCUUUAUGUGUCAUGUACGCUUUGAUUAAUAUCAGCUCUGUUACUGUACAGCUUAGAGCAAUUUUCCAUUUAAUAGUUGGGCAAGAGUUAUCAAUGUUAGAUAGAGUUUCACUGCAAUUUAUAAUUCUUUUUUGAUACUGUUUUCUCCUCCUUUGUAAUGGGUUGUGGCACCCCUUUGCUCCCCAUUUAUUCUAUUUGGCUUAAAAGGAAAAAAAAAAAACAUAAGCUCUCCAUAUAUUUCAUUGUU